rnacentral:rRNA from 1 species
GAACGCUGGCGGCAGGCUUAACACAUGCAAGUCGAGCGGAAACGAAGGUAGCUUGCUACCAGGCGUCGAGCGGCGGACGGGUGAGUAAUGCUUAGGAAUCUACCGAGUAGUGGGGGAUAGCCAUUGGAAACGAUGAUUAAUACCGCAUAUAUCCUACGGGGGAAAGCAGGGGACCUUCGGGCCUUGCGCUAUUCGAUGAGCCUGAGUGAGAUUAGCUAGUUGGUGGGGUAAAGGCCUACCAAGGCGACGAUCUCUAGCUGGUCUGAGAGGAUGAUCAGCCACACUGGGACUGAGACACGGCCCAGACUCCUACGGGAGGCAGCAGUGGGGAAUAUUGCACAAUGGACGAAAGUCUGAUGCAGCCAUGCCGCGUGUGUGAAGAAGGCCUUCGGGUUGUAAAGCACUUUCAGCGAGGAGGAAAGGUCAGUAAGUAAUAUUUGCUGGCUGUGACGUUACUCGCAGAAGAAGCACCGGCUAAUUUAGUGCCAGCAGCCGCGGUAAUACUAAAGGUGCAAGCGUUAAUCGGAAUUACUGGGCGUAAAGCGCGCGUAGGUGGUUUGUUAAGUUGGAUGUGAAAGCCCAGGGCUCAACCUUGGAACUGCAUUCAAAACUGACUCACUAGAGUACGAGAGAGGUUAGUGGAAUUUCCUGUGUAGCGGUGAAAUGCGUAGAGAUGGGAAGGAACACCAGUGGCGAAGCGACUGACUGGCUCGAUACUGACACUGAGUGCGAAGCGUGGGAGCAAACGG